AAUUGCAGGAGUUUUGCAGAGAAAUUUUGCCAGUUGUCUGGACCCUUUGAUUGUUGGAUAAUUCAAGCACCUUGUUUUCAUGUCUUUUAAAACAAAAUAAAAAGAGGGAUCUAUUUCUUGCUUAGAAAUGGGUAAUAACAGGAGAUUCAGUAGUGACUGACUUGUUGUUUUUCUAAUCCCAGCAACUGAAAUAUUCCUUAGGAUGGUUAGAGCUCAGUUGUGUCCUGUCCUGCUGGCAUUCUCCCUGGGAGUGCUCCUCUGCAGUGGAUUGCUCCUGGCCAUCAGAAACAAACAUUCCAGGCAUUCACAGUUGAAAUUCUGAGCUCUGGAAAUAAAGGAUGUGGUAUCUUGUUGUGGUGUUGUGAGGGUCCUCAGGAUGAGGUGAGAGAUGGGAAUUUGACUCCAAGUUCUCAAAAGGCUGAUUCGUCAUAUUAUGAUAAUAUUAUGACUAUAUUUUGUUAUUAUAUUACAAUAAUAUUAUAUUAACUAUAUUAUAUUUAUUAUAUAAUGUUAUUUAUAUGAUAUUUAUUAUAUUAUAUUGAAAUGAUAUACUAAAACUAUACUAAAGAAAGGAGAGUUCUGAUUAAGGCUAGAAAAGAAUGAAUAAUAAAAACUCGUGGCAGACGCA
rnacentral:lncRNA from 1 species